AACUUUCAACAACGGAUCUCUUGGUUCUGGCAUCGAUGAAGAACGCAGCGAAAUGCGAUAAGUAAUGUGAAUUGCAGAAUUUAGUGAAUCAUCGAAUCUUUGAACGCACAUUGCGCCCGCCGGUAUUCCGGCGGGCAUGCCUGUCCGAGCGUCA
rnacentral:rRNA from 1 species